rnacentral:rRNA from 1 species
UACGGGAGGCAGCAGUGGGGAAUAUUGCACAAUGGGCGCAAGCCUGAUGCAGCCAUGCCGCGUGUAUGAAGAAGGCCCUUCGGGUUGUAAAGUACUUUCAGUCGUGAGGAAGGUGUUAAGGUUAAUAACCUUAGCAAUUGACGUUAGCGACAGAAGAAGCACCGGCUAACUCCGUGCCAGCAGCCGCGGUAAUACGGAGGGUGCGAGCGUUAAUCGGAAUUACUGGGCGUAAAGGGCACGCAGGCGGUUAAUUAAGUUGGAUGUGAAAUCCCCGGGCUUAACCUGGGAAUGGCAUUCAAGACUGGUUAGCUAGAGUCUUGUAGAGGGGGUAGAAUUCCAUGUGUAGCGGUGAAAUGCGUAGAGAUGUGGAGGAAUACCGGUGGCGAAGGCGGCCCCUGGCAAAGACUGACGCUCAUGUGCGAAAGCUGGGGAGCAAAC